AUACUGAGGGUGCAAGCGUUAAUCGGAAUUACCGGGCGUAAAGCGCACGUAGGCGGUUUAUUAAGUCAGAUGUGAAAGCCCUGGGCUUAACCUGGGAACUGCAUUUGAGACUGGUAGGCUAGAGUAUGGUAGAGGAUAGUGGAAUUCCGGGUGUAGCGGUGAAAUGCGUAGAUAUCCGGAGGAACAUCAGUGGCGAAGGCGGCUAUCUGGACCAAUACUGACGCUGAGGUGCGAAAGCGUGGGGAGCAAACAGGAGUAGAAACCCCAGUAGUCC
rnacentral:rRNA from 1 species